GACGAACGCUGGCGGCGUGCUUAACACAUGCAAGUCGAACGGAAAGGCCCUGCUUUUGUGGGGUGCUCGAGUGGCGAACGGGUGAGUAACACGUGAGUAACCUGCCCUUGACUUUGGGAUAACUUCAGGAAACUGGGGCUAAUACCGGAUAGGAGCUCCUGCUGCAUGGUGGGGGUUGGAAAGUUUCGGCGGUUGGGGAUGGACUCGCGGCUUAUCAGCUGGUUGGUGGGGUAGUGGCUUACCAAGGCUUUGACGGGUAGCCGGCCUGAGAGGGUGACCGGCCACAUUGGGCCUGAGGUACGGCCCAGACUCCUACGGGAGGCAGCAGUCGGGAGUAUUGCACAAUGGGCGGAAGCCUGAUGCAGCAACGCCGCGUGCGGGAUGACGGCCUUCGGGUUGUAAACCGCUUUCGCCUGUGACGAAGCGUGAGUGACGGUAAUGGGUAAAGAAGCACCGGCUAACUACGUG
rnacentral:rRNA from 1 species